UGAUUAAAUGCCAUCCAAAUGAAUCUCCACAGAUGUCAGGACAGGCAACUUUUCAAUCCUCACAGAAUGGUGGACAAUAUUCAUAUGGGUCGCCUUCAGUGGUCAGAAACCACCCUGUAGGAUCCUCACCAAAUGCACCUUUUCAAUCCUCACAGAAUGGUGGACAAUAUUCUUACGGAUCACCUUCAGUGGUCAGAAACCACCCUGUAGGAUCCUCACCAAAUGCACCUUUUCAAUCCUCACAGAAUGGUGGACAAUAUUCUUACGGAUCACCUUCAGAGGUCAGAAACAACCCUGUAGGAUCCUCACCAAAUGCACCUUUUCAAUCCUCACAGAAUGGUGGACAAUAUUCUUGCGGAUCACCUUCAGUGGUCAGAAACAACCCUGUAGGAUCCUCACAAAAUGCACCUUUUCAAUCCUCACAGAAUGGUGGACAAUAUUCCUACGGAUCACCUUCAAUGGUCAGAAACCAUCCUGUAGGAUCCUUACCAAAUGGAGGACAAUAUUCUAAUGGAUCACCUUC
rnacentral:lncRNA from 1 species